CGAGCAAUUUUAUUAUUACUUUUAAGAAAUUGAUAUUUUUACAUAAUUUUUUAAUAUUUUUAUUUAAAAAUCGUCGCUAUAUAUUUAUAAUGACACCUUUUAUAUAAAAAUAUCAAAAAAUCAUAUAAAAAUAUCAAUUUUCUAAAAAUAAUAAUAAUAAUAAAAAGGAUGAGUAGGAAAGAUGAAACAGAGUCCUUCAUCUUCAUGUUGCAUUUUUCUAUCAAACAAAACGUAGGAUGAACAAAUAAGCAUUUACGGUUAAGUUUCAAAGUGUUUCAUAGUUUCCAACUUGAAUAGAAAUUCUAAAGAAGAAAAGAAUAACUAAAUCAAACUUAUCAUACAACAAAUAGGAAACACCCGAUUACCCAAUCACCUCUAUGUAUAGCCCCCAUCCCCAUAUCCUAAGUAUAAUCAAACAAGAACCAGACCCUUAAAACGCCGCAGUGAUAUAAUCAAGAAGCAGGGCUAACGGCAGAUAACUUCUUACAAGGGUGCCGUCUCCGUGGUCUGAAACAGAGGCACUGAAAAGCCAAUUUGAGUACGUUUCUAAGAACUUGGCCCCUUUUUGGAAUCAAGCGAGGUGCUGUGGCCGCGGUGGUUACCCGGAGCCUUCGGGGGGGCGGCGACGGGGGAGGUAAGCUGGAUAUGGUGGUAGCAGCCAUUUGUGUGUGUUAAAUAUAUAGUGUAGUAGAAAAGAGAGGUAGUGAAGUGAGUGAAGGUUUGAACGGAAAUGAAAGCAAACGGCAGGUCGCGGAAGGAUCCGGCAGUGGUUAUGCAGUGGUUAUGCAGUGGUGAAGAGAGAGAAUUUAGUUAGUUAGUUAGAUAUAUGGACUAAUUUUGCAACCGCGUUCACGAG
rnacentral:lncRNA from 1 species